rnacentral:lncRNA from 1 species
GUAACCUCAAUAGCGGUUUUGACCACCACCAUUGUCCCUCUCAGGUGAAUAGUUAGUUUGGUAUUGCGCAGGAUCAGACCAUGAUGGCGCAGGUUGUCCUCCCAUUUGUGGCGGUGGUGGCCCUCUCAUAUUGUUGUUUGGAGGCAUCUGAUUGUAGUUGUUCGGAGGCCCCUGACUGUAGUUGUUUGGAGGCCCCUGAUUGUAGUUGUUUGGAGGCCCCUGAUUGUAGUUGUUUGGAGGCCCCUGAUUGUAGUUAUUAGGCGGCCCCUGAUUGUAGGUCGGCUGCCCUCCACCCCAGUUGUUGUUCGGCUGCUGCACAUUGUUGUAGUUUGGUGGUGCACUCAUGUUAGGAGGCAUUGGAGCUCCGUUCACAGGUGGAGGAGGCAUAUUACUGGGUGGACUCAUGUUGUUUGGAGGUCCAGCGUUGCCAGGGCCAUUCGGCCCAGGUUGAUUAGGCAUGGGAGGGGCACCCCUAUUCUGGAAAUCUCUGCGCUGCAUGUUUUCCCUUCUGUU